CGGACAAAAGAACCCCUGUCGGACGUUCUGAAUAGGGAACAAGCGUUCGUUGAAGCACGACAAGGUUGAACUGAAGUGC
rnacentral:sRNA from 1 species